UAAUUGCACUAGGGGAGCUAUUUUAGAUGGCUGAGAGGAAUCAUUCUGACCCUUAUUACCCGAUCUAGAUAAUACUAGCGUGGGGAAGUGCAGUCGUGACCAA
rfam:Virgibacillus pantothenticus strain DSM 26 super3, whole genome shotgun sequence.